GGUCACCUGACACAUCCCUGCCAAUCUCCGGCAGACCCUUCCUCCCAGACCCUCCCACCUCCUGGACAGCAUCCAUGUUGAAGCUGCCUUCGACAUGGAUGCUGUCCAGGAAGUAGGAGGGUCUGGGAGGGAGGGUCUGCCGGAGAUUGGCAGGGAUGUGUCAGCUG